rnacentral:rRNA from 1 species
UGGAGGAUGAAGGUCCUCUGGAUUGUAAACUUCUUUUAUCUGGGAAGAAACCCACGUUUUCCAACGUGGUUGACGGUACCAGUUGAAUAAGCACCGGCUAACUCCGUGCCAGCAGCCGCGGUAAUACGGAGGGUGCAAGCGUUAUCCGGAUUCACUGGGUUUAAAGGGUGCGUAGGCGGGUUGGUAAGUCCGUGGUGAAAGCCCCAAGCUUAACUUGGGAAUUGCCGUGGAUACUAUCAAUCUUGAAUAUCGAGGAGGUAAGCGGAAUAUGUCAUGUAGCGGUGAAAUGCUUAGAUAUGACAUGGAACACCAAUUGCGUAGGCAGCUUACUACACGAUCAUUGACGCUGAGGCACGAAAGCGUGGGUAGCGAACAGGAUUAGAUACCCUGGUAGUCCACGCCCUAAACUA